rnacentral:rRNA from 1 species
AGUGGACGCUGGCGGUAGGCCUAACACAUGCAAGUCGAACGGCAGCACAGUAAGAGCUUGCUCUUACGGGUGGCGAGUGGCGGACGGGUGAGGAAUACAUCGGAAUCUACUUUUUCGUGGGGGAUAACGUAGGGAAACUUACGCUAAUACCGCAUACGACCUACGGGUGAAAGCAGGGGAUCUUCGGACCUUGCGCGAUUGAAUGAGCCGAUGUCGGAUUAGCUAGUUGGCGGGGUAAAGGCCCACCAAGGCGACGAUCCGUAGCUGGUCUGAGAGGAUGAUCAGCCACACUGGAACUGAGACACGGUCCAGACUCCUACGGGAGGCAGCAGUGGGGAAUAUUGGACAAAGGGCGCAAGCCUGAUCCAGCCAUACCGCGUGGGUGAAGAAGGCCUUCGGGUUGUAAAGCCCUUUUGUUGGGAAAGAAAAGCAGCAGGUUAAUACCCCGCUGUUCUGGCGGUACCCAAAGAAUAAGCACCGGCUAACUUCGUG